rnacentral:rRNA from 1 species
AGAUUCCUACGGGAGGCAGCAGUGGGGAAUAUUGCACAAUGGGCGCAAGUCUGAUGCAGCCAUGCCGCGUGUGUGAAGAAGGCCUUCGGGUUGUAAAGCACUUUCAGUCGUGAGGAAGGUGGUAGUGUUAAUAGCACUAUCAUUUGACGUUAGCGACAGAAGAAGCACCGGCUAACUCCGUGCCAGCAGCCGCGGUAAU